rnacentral:rRNA from 1 species
AUAAAAUCAAAAAAUAGUAAUUCAAAGGGGUUAUUAAGGAAAACUAGCAAAUUUAUAAAAAAGGAGGUUACAACCAAAAGCUUUCAUACAAGCAAUCCUUGUAUUCUACUUUUCUACUCUCCAGAUAGUCUAAUACACAGAUAGCUUAUAAAAAUUGAAAAAAUAGCGAUCCUAAGGGAAACCUUUAAUAAAAAUACUUCCUGAAGUAAAACAUUUCACUAAGGAAAGGAAAGGAAAUCAACCGAGACUCCGAGAGUAAUGGCGAGUGAAAUCGGAUUAGCCUAUAAACUCUUAUAAUUGAAUCACUUAUGAAACUUUUUUUUUAUUAAGCCAGUAAGUAAGCAUUUAGCAAUGUUCCAUAGAAGGUUACAAACAAAAGUCCUGUAAAUUCAUAAGAGUAUUAUAACUAGAAACAUUCAAAUAGACAGCUAUACACAACACUGAAAUUAGUUUUCUACUAUCUACAUAGAAAAGCUCUAACACUAAGUGAAACGUAUAUAGUAAAAAUUGUUCUUUUUAAUGUCUUCUAAACAGUACGACGAGAGAAAACUUGUCGGAAAAUAGGGGGACCAUCCUCUAAGGCUAAGUAUUAUAAAUUUAGCGAUAGUGAGCAGUACUGUAAAGGAAAUAAGUUGAAACAGCGGGUAGAAGACCAAAAUGUACAAAAUAUUUUUCUUAAUAGUUAAAAUUUUUAAAUUUUUUCGUCUGAUCUUAAGUAUUUAUGCUUAAGUUUAUCAUACUAUAAUUAACUCUCUCUAAUUUUUGUAUUUAAUUUUAAUUUUUGAACCUUUGUGUGAACUCUGAGUUUAACACUUAAAACUAGUAAAAACUAAGAAUCUCUCUAAAACUUCUUUUUUAUUAGUAAGGAGGAAAUUCUAAUUUUAGAUGAGUCUUUAUUUGACACUAAUAAGAAAUUUAUUGUAAUACUAUGAUCGGGGUUGUCUUAAACGAGAACCAUAUGAUCGCGAUGAAAUAGCACAAGAAUUAGUAACUCUAUAAGCAGUCGAAAUUCAAAGUUUAAAGAAUGACGGCGUACCUUUUGCAUAAUGGGUUAUAAACACUAGCUCAUAACGGUGGAAACCUUAUUUCAGUCCAGCCUAUGAUCUAACAGUGUUUCAUUGUUAAGUAGGAUACUGAAGAGAGAAUGCUGACAUGAGUAACGUAAAAAGAAGUUAUAAAACUUCUCGCCGAAUACGAAAGGGUUACAUUGAAAGGUUAAUCUGCAGUGUGUUAAUGCGGCCUCUAAGGACCAGAACCAAAGUUCUGGCUGAUGAGUAUUAAAUUAGAACACCCUUUUUAACUCUAAUAAGGGGUCAAGAAAAUAAUAAUUUAUAAUGAAUACAGAAAUAUCUGUAAAAAUUAGAAUAUAUAAAAUCUCAGGGUAAAAGCUGAUAAAUAAAAUUUUAAUGAUCAUUUUUAAACUACCGUACCCUAAACCGACACAGGUUCGUAGGUAGAGAAUACUAAGGCGUAGAGCUAAAAGUUGUUAAGGAACUCGGCAAACUCCCCUCAAACGCUAGGCUACAUGAGGUACCAAUGCAAAUCUUUAGUUAGUAUUUGUAGUUUGUUUAUUAAAUAGAACUAAUAAAUAAAAAAUUGGUGGCACAGAAUCGGAGGCCCCGACUGUUUACUAAAAACAUAACACAGUGCAAUCAUUAAUGUGGAAGUAUACUGUGUGAAAUUUGCUCGAUGCCAUUAAUAUAAGUGAGGUCAAUUAAAAAAUGACUAAAUGAAAGUCUGGUUAAUAGCGGUCUUAACUAUGAGGAUCCUAAGGUAGCAAAAUCAUUUGGCCAUUAAAUGUGGUCCGGUAUCAAUAAUCUAACGAUGGUCUCGCUGUCUCUACAACUUGCUCAGUGAAAUUGAAUUACGCGUGCAGAUGCGCGUUGCCUCCAGGGGGACGGGAAGACCCUAUGCAGCUUUACUGUAGUUAGUUAUCAUCUUGUAUCUAGAACAAUUGUUAAUAAUAGAGAAUAGGGAGUACUAAAAGUUUAAGCUGAUGUAUAAAUAAAAGAGAGUAACUAAAAAAUACUCACUCUUAAAUAUACAAUUUAAAGCUCAUAAACUAGAGAUAAUUAAUUUUUUUAUUUAUCCUUGUACAACAGUGGAAUACCUUCCGUUACAAUUGGGUCAAGGUUUACCUCUUAAUAAUUAAAAAAUAAAGGGACAGAUGACUAAUUGGCAGUUUGACUGGGGCGGUCGUCUUUAAUAUAGUAGCAAAGUACAUCCAAAUUUUUUAUUUAAAAAAAUGUAAAUAGUUUUUUUUUCUUUUCUAAUUUUUUAGUUUAGAAACUUUAGACUAUUACUCCAAAUACAACCUUUAUUAAUUUCGGAGUUUUGUUUGGUUUUUUAUUAGUUUUCUUCUAAUUUAAAAUAAAACAAUAUAUACUCUAUUUUAAUUUUAAUUUUUAUUUUAUUUCUAAAUUUAAUUUAAAUUUUUAUUUUAAUUUUUAAUAAGGUUGAUUUAUCAUAAGGUAUAGCUAGGAAUUGAAUGGAGAUCAAUCAACCAGUGAAGGGUUGCGCAUAGUUUAAUGGCGGAAAGCAUGCCUAACUGAAAGACCUAAAAGUCGCACAGAUACGUAAGUAGGGCAUAGUGACCCCUCGCUAUAAUAUGGAAUAGACGGGGAUCAAUUAAUAAAAGUUACGCUAGGGAUAACAGGCUGAUAGCGGACGAGAGUACACAUUGUCUCCGCUGUUUGGCACCUCGAUGUCGACUCAUCCUUUCCUCUGGGAGUAGAAUCUCGGAAGGGUUCGGCUGUUAUUGUUAAUACGACGUGAGUCAGUAUGGUCCCUAUCUUCUGGAGGGACAAGUAGUAAAAAGGGGGAGACCUUCUAGUACGAAAGGAUCAAUAGGCUGUGUUUCCCUAGUGUACCAAUUGUUUUAUUUUAGUCUUUCUGUUUUUCACUAAACAAAAGGAACAAGUAUAAACGCAUAGUUGGGUAGCCACAAACAUAUUAGAUAAAUGCUGAACGAAUCUAAAGCAAGAAUCUAACCCCUAGAUACUAAAAAGAGAAUUUAACAACAAAUUAAAAUCUCAAAUUAAGAAAUAGAACAUUUCUGAAUAGGCUGCAAAUGUACAUGAUGAGAAUCAUAAAAUUAAAAUUUUUUAAUCAAAUUUUAAUAGUUUAGCGGUACUAAUUUAUAAAAUAAACUUAAUGUUAUAGGUUGUCAAUAUUUUUAUGCUUUUUAAUUUAAGCAAAAUCGGGGAACUGUUUGUUUUUUACACAAACACUGGAGUCUACCCCUUUUUUAUAUAUUUUAGUGUUUAAUAGACACUUUUUUAGUCUAGAGAUAAGCUUAGACUGCUGUUAAUAAUAAUUUAACCACCUCUAUAUGAAGAUACUUUAUGUUUCCCCACAUAAACUAAAACUCAAAUUUCACUAGCUUUAAGAGUGAAAGGUACAAAUUUAAAUUUCACAACAAAUAGAAAUAAAGCUCAAUUCCAAAUAAUACCGUUAAAUCUCUCUCAUUUCCAAAUAAUACAGCUAAAUACAGCACAAUUCCAAAAAUGAGUCUCCAGAUUAAGAAUUAGCACAGCUUAGCACUCAAUAGCUCACUUUUAUUAAAUCGAUUUUAACUAAAUUCAAAUUUAUAAUUUAAAAAUUAGGAUAAGAAACAUAAUUAUAACACUCUACUAACACUACAAACAGCUAACUUUAUAAUAAAAGAAAGUAGUAAUAACAGUAAGAAUAAAAGUAAGAAUAAAAGUAAGCUUAAUAGUACAAAUAAUAGUACAAAUAAAAGUAAUAAUAACUGUAAUAAUAAAAGUAAGAAUAAGAGUAAGAAUAAGAGUAAGAAUAAGAGUAGAGAUAAAGUACUUAUAAAAGAAAGUAACAGUAAAAAUAAAAAAAUAGAACUCUAAAAGUUUACAUUAGAAAAAAAAGUAUAAAUAUUAAUAUAAAUAUAUACUAACAUUCUCUACAACUACAACUACAACU